rnacentral:rRNA from 1 species
UCCCUACGGGGGGCAGCAGUGAGGAAUAUUGGUCAAUGGCCGGAAGGCUGAACCAGCCAAGCCGCGUGAAGGACGAAGGUGCCAAGCAUUGUAAACUUCUUUUGUCAAGGGACAAAAUCAGGCUCGAGAGCCUGACCGAGGGUACUUGAAGAAAAAGCAUCGCCUAACUCCGUGCCAGCAGCCGCGGUAAUACGGAGGAUGCGAGCGUUAUCCGUAUUUAUUGGGUUUAAAGUGAGCGUAGCCGGCCUGUUAAGUCCUC